rnacentral:rRNA from 1 species
UCGCCUGUUUAUCAAAAACAUCGCCUCUUGACAAACUAUAAGAGGUCCAGCCUGCCCAGUGAUAUUAUUCAACGGCCGCGGUAUCCUAACCGCGCGAAGGUAGCAUAAUCACUUGUUCUUUAAAUAGGGACUAGUAUCAAUGGCACCACGAGGGUUGCACUGUCUCCUCUCUCCAAUCAGUGAAACUGAUCUCCCCGUGAAGAAGCGGGGAUAAACCAAUAAGACGAGAAGACCCCAUGGAGCUUAAAAUCUAAUAGCAACUUUGCCACAUAAUCCACCAUAUUUUACAGAGCCAUGCUAGCAAAUUUUAGGUUGGGGCGACCGCGGAGUAAAAAUCACCCUCCAUGACGAAAAGAACUAAACCUUUAUCUAAGAACCACUAUUCUAAGAAUUAGCAUACUAACGACCAUGACCCGAUAAUCGAUCAACGGACCAAGUUACCCUGGGGAUAACAGCGCAAUCUACUUUGAGAGUCCAUAUCGACAAGUAGGCUUACGACCUCGAUGUUGGAUCAAGGUAUCCUAGUGGUGCAGCCGCUACUAAUGGUUCGUUUGUUCAACGAUUAAAACCUUACGUGAUCUGAGUUCAGACCGG